CAAACAUGCUUUUGUGAAAGCCAGGCUGUUAAUCCUGUAUUUCUGUCCAGGGCAAACCCUGGAGAGCUUGUGACAGAAGGCAAAUUUAUAAAAUUACACAAGGCUUGUUUACUAAGGAAGACCAAAACCAACCCGUGCCACAGUGCGUUGUGGCACGCCACACUGUAACAUAUGUUUCAUGAAGUAACCACAGUGAAACAAAUUCCCAAAUGUAAAAGCAUACAACUUAAACCUGGGCUAUUCUGUAUCGUUAUGGCUAACGCAGUCCAUGGAGCUGUCUGAGCCAAGGUGAUAACAAGCUUCAACAAAUCUUAAAUGCAAAUGAACUACAAGGGAAAAAACAGCAUGGAGCUCGGCUGCAGCCGGGCUUUUUGAAGGAAAGCAGCGACCGCCUUGGUGCUGUCAGCCUCUUCAUCCCUGAACCUCAGGAUUGGAUAGACAUCACUGCCGUGUGCUUUGGAGCAAUGGGCUCAGGGUCUACCUGUUUUUUUGUUUUGUUUUUGUGGGCAAUUAAGUUGACGAGCCCGGAGCAGGACAGCCGGCCGUGUCAGGCGAUGGGCCCCUGGUCGCAGCCACUGCCCGUCUCUCGUCACGGGGCGAGCAGGUGGGAGUUUUAAUGAGCGGCCUGGCUGCACGGUGGGAGCUUUAGAUGAAUAAGACUCCAUUAACCAGAAACAUCCCUCAGCUCUCCACUCUCUCUGCACUGAAGAAAAUAAGGAUUACGGACCGCUAACAGCCUAAAAGCUACUUUUAUAUACAUUUUAAUCCCUCUUCCAUAUGUGUCACUUAUCAACACCUAGACCGAAUCCUUUUAAUGCUAAAAAAGAACUGUUAAUUGCAUGUUGUAUUUUCUUAGUUUAUUGUUGCACUUUAACGGUUUUUGCUUUAUCUGUUCCCCAUUUACUUUAAAGCACUCAGAGAUGGUGUCUUACAUGGAAGGUACUGGAUAAAUGUAUUUGGACUGAACAAUUAGAUUAAGCUUUUCAAACUUGAAUUGCACCUCAUUUUUACCAACUUCUGUUUCUUUUGCUUUUAAGGACAGCCAAGAUAUCCUUAAUGGAGGGCCAUGCACACACAGCUAGAUAAGAAACAGCUCUAGGAGUGCUAGAUCACCCCCAGUUUCACUUUUACUUUACAAAAUUGUACCUGUCCAAAAUGUAAUCCUUACAUCAAUCAGUUUACAGCUUCAUUUACAGAAAUAAAAUGCAUAAAAAGCUCAGAGAGUUACUGUAUGCAUUACCACAGAACAGUGGCCCACAGCCUAUUACAUCUCAAAGACAGAAGAGCACACUGUGAGUCUGUGCUCUGUGUGUAAACAUGAAUUACUAUAAAAAUGCCAACAAAAGUCAAGGGAACUCUCCCAAUGAAGUAACUGACAGACUCUAAAGGGAGAUGACCACAAUGGAAAUAACAUUAAUGGAAACCCCCCAAAAAAUGUCAAAUCUGCUUCCACCCCCAGGGAAGCUUACAUUCAAUGAAGAACAGAACAGUCAAUAAUUAUAAUGAGAGUUCCCAAGAAAUGAGUGCAGAAAGAGUAACUGAUUGCAGAAGAAUGUGAUUUCCAGUUAAUGAUAAGACAACUUUAAACAUCAUGUGCACUGUGAUGUGUUAACUAUCUAAAGUUCUGACAAAAAGAAAACCUUAUCUCCACAGUAAAGCAGAUCAAACUACAUACUUUAUGUGUUUAAAGUUUAAGUUAACCACCUAGCCUUUUUUUAACCCUUUAUGGCUUGGGUUUGUGUUUUUGUGUUGAAAAUGUAAGAGGUGCUUAUGUACUGCAAGACACUAUUCCAGUCUUUCUCUGUGAGUCUCUUCUCUGGGAGUGCUCACUGAAAUUCCACCCUUCCUGCUCUUUGAAGCCCUGAUUCAGAGUUCAGACGGUUUCGACCGGCUCAAACUCUGACAAGGCAUUAAGGGUGAAACAGUAGUUACCAAUCAUUGAAUCAUCACUAGAUGCCUAUUGAGUGAAAAUUCAUUGUGGUCCAGGUUCAGGAAUGAUUUAUUACCUGCAACAAUUUUAGACGUAGUAGUUGUUAGUAUUACGUACAUCUCCGAUUCCUCUGAAGAGGAUUAACUGUUCAACUGCUGGGGAAAAUGGAAAACUUGUUGACUGUAAUAAACCGCAGGACUGACGUGAGUUGAAGAGGCUGUGGUAGGAGUGUUCAGGUUCACCUGCACAGUCUGAGGGGCUGCUGAGGGAAGUCCUUGGAGACUGCCAUGCCAAGUGAAAAGCAGCUCACCCGGUUUCGAAAUGAGCAGAGAUUUAUUGGAUUUGUGUUGAGAUACAGACUAUACUAGUUACAAGUUCACAUGGAUGCCAAAAUGCAAAAUAUGUGACUGAUGUCAGGAUGUUUUAUUUUCAUUUCAAACGCUUAAGUUGUAUACUGCUUCUUUUAGACUACAUUACUCCCACAGACCAUUUUCCAACAAGUUUAAACAUGGUGUUACUGCACUAUUUUGCCAGCAAGGCGAAAACUCUAGUUCGACCACAGUGUCUCUUUACCACCCCCUAGUGCAAGUUCACUCACUCCAGGCAUGACGCUCCAGAAGAACAGCAGGGGUUUUAAAUAAAAAAGUCACCAGAUGAAGUUUAAGCUUCCUGUUGUGGAGGAAACAGAAUGAAAACUCAAAACCUCUGACUAGCGGUGACUAACACUGUAACUGGCCCCGCAGUCACCGUGAAGCCUGUCUGUUGCAACCACUGCUCUGGCUAUAAUGAGACGCGUGAAUCACCACACUCAAUCGGAGCUGCAAAGGAAAGGGGGUGACCUACCUGUCAGUCGGCAGGUGUUGGUCACCUUUAAAGGUUGACAGGCCUUGUUAAAACUCUAUGCAAUCACCCGCACAGCCCCACUUGGAGAGGAGGUAAGACUGACAGUUCUAAAUCUGAAAUUAAGAGGCAGCCGUGAAAUAAAGACACAGACCUGUCUUUCGCGCUGCUGUCAUACUGUAUGGUUACAGCCACAGGGACGUAUCGUAUGGGUAACGCAGUACCUGCGUGAAUUAGUGAAGUCUUCGUGGAACAGCACUGCGCUGGAGAAAAGGGCGCAUCCUGCAAGAUCUCCGAGACUAGUCGUAAGGAAUCAAAUCAGGCACAAAACCAACAAGCAAAGAGUCUGUAAGACAAGAAGACUGGUGCAGUAGCAGAGGAACAGGUGCUGACUAAGAUCUACAUACUGUACUACAGACGGACAGAUGACAGGAGCGCAGAGCCGCGUGGCAGUGGGACUGCUGGUCCUGCUCCUCUCCUUGCCCAGCUGGGAGAUCCUGGUAGAGGACUCAGCCAGUGAGACAAGAUGGCAUACCUACAAGACCAAAAGGGACCAGGAAGUGGUCUCCAACUUCAAAAGGCACUCAGAGGGAACCUUCUCCAGCGACUUCACCAGGUACCUGGACAGGAUCAAAGCCAAGGACUUUGUGCACUGGCUCCAAACUGGCACAAAACGACAAAGGUACACAGUCCAGGCCCUGGACACAUGGCAGUAACACAGGAACCUGCACAGCAGCGAGCACGUGGUAACACUGCCAGCCGUCCCCGUGCCAAAGAUAGACUGAAGCCUGUAUUAUAACAAAGCUGCCCUUGUACUGGAUUUACACUAAUAACUGCUUAAAAAUUAAAAUCAAGCAAUUAAAUA